CCCGGGGCCGCCUCCCCGAGGGACUCGCGGCCGGGAAAGCGACGCCGCGCCCGCGGUCCCUGAGGGCAGCGCUCGCUCCCCCCUGACGGGGCCGCGGGGGCGCAGAGGGGAAAGGCGCUCCCUCUGUGCGAGGUUCUGCCGCUCUGGUUUUGUUUCGGCUGCCUGGCCACGGUUGAUUUGUGCGUUGGAUUGUCACGCUGUCAAGAUGCUUUUAAUUUAAAAAAGCUUUUGGUGGUGUGGCACCAGCCUGAUACUCGGGUAUUUUUAAUAACAAGAUCGGCUUUUAAAACCUGGCAUAAGCAGAUGUUUUGUAAUUUGCUUUUUAAUGUGGAGAAGCGGGGGUUUGGUCUUAAUUCGAUUUAGAAAUCUUGCUGCAGUUUUCCCAAGCUAAAUCCUGAACCAGGAUGGUCCCAGCAAUGGCACCCAUAAACUUAGCAUGACCAAACAAAAAAGAGAAACGUUUUCCCCUUAGAAUGAAUAACAUAAACAAAGGUAACUGAGAACUGAAGAACUUCAGUAUUAGCCAUUUAUAUAUGCCUUUAGAAUGUGAUUCCUAAGAACGCAGACACUGGGGAAGCUGAUAAGCAAAAAAAAAUCCAGUGGAAAGUCAAAGAAGAUGAUUUUGGAGAAGCGGCAUCACCUGCGAUAUCUGUCUUCUGUCAGCAUCAUUUGCAGUCAUUAAGUAUCUUCCACCAGUGUUACGUCACACAGGAUGCUCACCUUUGGAUGCACUGAGAGACUCAGGAGAAGCUGGACACAGAAUGUCCACAGAAUGGACUGCAGUGACAGAGAUGGGAGCCUUGGGAUGUCCUUUCAACAGCUGCUGACUCAAAAUAUUCAGGUAGUUGGUGUUUUCGUCUGAAAAUUGUAAAGCAGCUGGAGGAACUUUGAAGAAAUAACACUAACAGUUCCUUUAUUUUAGGUAUAUUUGUAAUAUAUACCUAAAAUAAAGGAACUAUAAAUUCCUUUAUGAUAAAUUAAUAAACCUUA